CACCGCCCGUCACACCAUGGGAGUCAGUUGCUCCAGAAGUGGCCGAGCCAACCGCAAGGAGGCAGGCCCCCAAGGAGUGGCUGGUGACUGGGGUG
rnacentral:rRNA from 1 species